rnacentral:rRNA from 1 species
GACGAACGCUGGCGGUGUGCUUAACACAUGCAAGUCGAACGGAAAGUCCCUGGUUUUUUGCGGUGCUCUAGUGGCGAACUGGGGAUUAACACUUGAGUAACCUGCCCUUGACUGUAGGAUAACUUCAGGAAAGUUGGGCUAAUACGGGAUAGGAGCUUCUGCUGAAUGUUGGGGGUUGGAUAGUUUCGGCGGUUGGGGAUGGACUCGCGGCUUAUCCGCGUGUUGGUGGGGUAGUGGCUUACACAGGCAUUGACGGUUGGACGGCCUGAGAGGGUAUCCGGCGACACUGGGACAGUGAGACAGGCCAGAGUCCUCCGGGAGGCAGAAGUGGGGAGUAUUGCACGAUGGGCGGAAGAGUGAUGCAGAAACGCAGCGUGCGGGAUAACGGCCUUCGGGUUGUAAACAGCUUUCGCCUGAGGCGAGGAGUGAGUGACGGUACUGGGUAAAGAAGCACCGGCUAACUACGUG